AAGAUACUAGUAUAAAUGAAAAUACACUGCCUUGUCAAGGCAGAGUCGUAGGUUAGACCCCUGCGUAUCUUG
rnacentral:tRNA from 2 species